UCGAGCGAACAGAUGAGGAGCUUGCUCCUCUGACGUUAGCGGCGGACGGGUGAGUAACACGUGGAUAACCUACCUAUAAGACUGGGAUAACUACGGGAAACCGGAGCUAAUACCGGAUAAUAUAUUGAACCGCAUGGUUCAAUAGUGAAAGACGGUUUUGCUGUCACUUAUAGAUGGAUCCGCGCCGCAUUAGCUAGUUGGUAAGGUAACGGCUUACCAAGGCAACGAUGCGUAGCCGACCUGAGAGGGUGAUCGGCCACACUGGAACUGAGACACGGUCCAGACUCCUACGGGAGGCAGCAGUAGGGAAUCUUCCGCAAUGGGCGAAAGCCUGACGGAGCAACGCCGCGUGAGUGAUGAAGGUCUUCGGAUCGUAAAACUCUGUUAUUAGGGAAGAACAAAUGUGUAAGUAACUAUGCACGUCUUGACGGUACCUAAUCAGAAAGUCACGGCUAACUGCGUGCCAGCAGCCGCGGUAAUACGUAGGUGGCAAGCGUUAUCCGGAAUUAUUGGGCGUAAAGCGCGCGUAGGCGGUUUUUUAAGUCUGAUGUGAAAGCCCACGGCUCAACCGUGGAGGGUCAUUGGAAACUGGAAAACUUGAGUGCAGAAGAGGAAAGUGGAAUUCCAUGUGUAGCGGUGAAGUGCGCAGAGAUAUGGAGGAACACCAGUGGCGAAGGCGACUUUCUGGUC
rnacentral:rRNA from 1 species